CAGUCAACUACCCAGGCCGGGACCUCUGGAAAUAUGCCCUUCUCCACCACUGCCCCAGCACACGGGACCGAAGUCAGCGAUUACAAGCACGGGGAAAGUGGGUUUCCACCUUAAAAUGAUCACUGAUUCCUAGUGAUUGAGAGGAAAGGUAAUACAGAAUUUGGAAAAUUAAGUUUUCCAAUGUAAUUUUUGCAUGUUUAUUUAUUUAUUUUCUGAGAGAGACAGAGAGAGAGAGAGAGAGAAAGAGCAAGCCGUGGAGGGACAGGGAGAGUGGGAGAGAGAGAAUCCCAAGCAGGCUCUACACUGACAGCAUGGAACCUGACGUGGGGCUUGAACCCAUGAACCGUGAGAUCACGACCUGAGCCGACAUCAAGAGUCGGCCACUUAACCAGCGGAGCCACCAAGACCCGCCCCUCCGAUGGCAUUCUGGCAAUACGGAGACGAGCUGCAUGACCCAGCGAUCUGCGCUCAGGACGGACCCUAGAGAAACGCACACGUAUGUACCCGGAGGCAGUGUAAGAAGGCUGGCCGCGGCCUGGUCUGUUGUGACGAAAAUUCCAAGCAACCGAAAUACCCCAGGAUGCAAACACCGAUGGCCCACAAGAGGGAGAUCUAGAACAGUUCAGCAACCAGAUGUGUAACUGUAUAAACCGAUAUAAGGACACACAGCAUCUUGGGAAGCUUUGCAGGAGUGCAAAGGGCGCCGAUAGAGGCUCCCGCCUGCCCUCUGUCUAAGGCGAGCGCCCUUUUAACGCGUUCAGAAAUCUGCAGAGCAACCGCUCACGGUGAAGAAGCCGCAGCACAGGGUGCGGUGGUAAACUGAACGGUGUUCAAAACGUGCGGUUUAAUGAGACGGUUGCAGAGUAAAAAGCAACAUGGCAGCAAGAGGAAAAUCGAUCAGUGGAGUGCAGAAGCACAGGGGACAGACAGUGUCCUCGGGGACCUGUGGCCAGGUGCUUGGGGUCUGCGACCUUGGAAGGGCCCAGGAAACCCGAAACUCCUGCCGCUUAUUCACGGAACACUGAGAAAUGCGGACAUAGCUGCUCUUAUCACUGCAGCUACAAACAGUACGGCUAGCGAUAAGCAUGGCUAUCUUACGGCUGUAAUUCAAACUUACCAUUAGAAGCUUCCCCUCUAAAGAUUUUAACCGGGUACGGUGAGUUUCAAGCUUUUCUGUGAACAUUUCUGCUACUUACUCAUCCUUUUCAAUGAGGUGCCGAAGGUUUUAUCAACAGUUGGGGAGGGUACAUAAAUUAAGAACAGUCGUUGGCUGGGGCGCCUGGGUGGCUCAGUCGGUUGAGUGUCUGACUUUAGCUCGGGUCAUGAUCUCGCGGUCCAUGAGUUCGAGCCCCGCAUUGGGCUCUGUGCUGAUGGCUCGGAGCCUGGAGCCUGCUUUGGAUUCUGGGUCUCCCUCUCUCUCUGCCCCUCCCCCCGCUCAC